UUAGUGAUGAAGCUAUGCAGCUAAUAUAUUAAUGCAUACAUGUAUGGCCGAUUAUAUAUUAUUUCUACCGUUAAGGAAUAUUGCCAGUGGAAUACAAUGUUAUGACAGCGUAACGUUCUCUAAACUACCCUCUUGGCAGAUAUAAAAAAUAAAUGGAAAAUCUGGAGAAAGAAAGGCCAGGAAUUGCACAACGGAUGAAUCUGGCCCACCUUCCUCUCUAGCGAAACGCAGUUGGCUCUGGAUUGCAAUACUGGAUCACUUGUUUGUAUCACCAUAUCAUCUAUUUAAUAUCCAGCCACAGACCCAGCUACCAUAGCUUACACUGUCACAGCCCAAAAAAGCAAAACCUAGAAUUUGGACGCUGCUGAGGUUAACAUGGAUGCUUGCCUUUUAUUUUAUUUUUAUUCCGCAAGAUCUUUUGGCUCCCCAAAACAGCAAUUAAAAGCAAAAGAAACACCUCAAUGUGGGUUUUGCUGCAGCCCUCCUGAAUCAUCAUGCUAAAAAUGAAUCAUGUGCAUUAGUCAUCUGCUGAGCUGGGGCUCGAGUGGUGGGUUUAAAUAACCAGUGCUCCAAAAGGCAUUUAAUAUCAGGGCCACGUGAAACUCUCAGGAUUACUCAGCAGAGCCCCUCAAGGGUCCAGACUACACAGAAGUGUGAGAAGAGCCACUCCUGAGAGGCAGGGUUGAGUCUGUGCUACUAAAGACAUUUCCAUUUCAAGCUCUGACAACAUUAAAGAAGAAAUUUAUUGGAGUUCAUCACACAGUCUGAAUCCUGUGGAGCCAAGGAUUUAUUUUUGACCCCCAUCAUCUUUUAUUUUCAUCUUUCUAGUCUUCCCUUUUGAUUUAUUCCUCCUACUCUAGUCUGAAUCAACUGUUGUCCUGGGAACACUGAGAACAGUCUUCAUGAGAUUCACCUGUGGCGCAUGAAAACUUUCUAACAGGCACAUUUUUCAUUUCCAAACUUUCUGCCUGUGGGAGAAUGACUUAAGAGGGAAGAUACAUCAAUGUUAUGAGGCAAGAAGAGGAAAGAAGAGAAGGGGGAGUGAAUACCAUGCAGUUAUAAGGCUAAUAAAGAAUUCCUUGAAAAGUUUUAAAAACAGAAAAAUGGCUUUGCUGCAUCUAUGUUUCAAUGUUUCAUCUAACAUUACA